rnacentral:rRNA from 1 species
UACGAAGGGGCUAGCGUUGCUCGGAAUUACUGGGCGUAAAGGGCGCGUAGGCGGCACUGUUAGUCAGGCGUGAAAUUCCUGGGCUCAACCUGGGGACUGCGCUUGAUACGGCAGAGCUUGAGGAUGGAAGAGGGUCGCGGAAUUCCCAGUGUAGAGGUGAAAUUCGUAGAUAUUGGGAAGAACACCGGUGGCGAAGGCGGCGACCCUGGUCCAUUACUGGACGCUGAGGCGCGACAGCGUGGGGAGCAAACAGG